UAAUGCAGUCGAGCGAACAGAGAAGGAGCUUGCUCCUUUGACGUUAGCGGCGGACGGGUGAGUAACACGUGGGCAACCUACCUUAUAGUUUGGGAUAACUCCGGGAAACCGGGGCUAAUACCGAAUAAUCUAUUUUACUUCAUGGUGAAAUACUGAAAGACGGUUUCGGCUGUCGCUAUAAGAUGGGCCCGCGGCGCAUUAGCUAGUUGGUGAGGUAACGGCUCACCAAGGCGACGAUGCGUAGCCGACCUGAGAGGGUGAUCGGCCACACUGGGACUGAGACACGGCCCAGACUCCUACGGGAGGCAGCAGUAGGGAAUCUUCCACAAUGGGCGAAAGCCUGAUGGAGCAACGCCGCGUGAGUGAAGAAGGUUUUCGGAUCGUAAAACUCUGUUGUAAGGGAAGAACAAGUACAGUAGUAACUGGCUGUACCUUGACGGUACCUUAUUAGAAAGCCACGGCUAACUACGUGCCAGCAGCCGCGGUAAUACGUAGGUGGCAAGCGUUGUCCGGAAUUAUUGGGCGUAAAGCGCGCGCAGGCGGUCCUUUAAGUCUGAUGUGAAAGCCCACGGCUCAACCGUGGAGGGUCAUUGGAAACUGGGGGACUUGAGUGCAGAAGAGGAAAGUGGAAUUCCA
rnacentral:rRNA from 1 species